rnacentral:rRNA from 1 species
CCUACGGGGGGCAGCAGUGGGGAAUAUUGCACAAUGGGGGAAACCCUGAUGCAGCGACGCCGCGUGAGCGAAGAAGUAUUUCGGUAUGUAAAGUUCUAUCAGCAGGGAAGAAAAUGACGGUACCUGACUAAGAAGCCCCGGCUAACUACGUGCCAGCAGCCGCGGUAAUACGUAGGGGGCAAGCGUUAUCCGGAUUUACUGGGUGUAAAGGGAGCGUAGGCGGCUUGGCAAGUCAGAAGUGAAAGACCGGGGCUCAACCCCGGGACUGCGUUUGAAACUGUUGAACUAGAGUGCCGGAGAGGUAAGCGGAAUUCCUGGUGUAGCGGUGAAAUGCGUAGAUAUUAGGAGGAACACCAGUGGCGAAGGCGGCCUGCUGGACGGUAACUGACGUUGAGGCUCGAAAGCGUGGGGAGCAAACAGGAUUAGAUACCCUGGUAGUC